CUCUCUCUCGCAUCUCUCUCGCGUUGAAGCCGCCGCCCCCUCCCCUUCUCUCGCGUUGAAGCCACUGCCCUACCCCGUCUCGUCGCGCCGCCGCCCCCUCCCCCUUCUCCUCGCGUCGCUGCCCCCUCCCCCUCGCGCCGCCGCCCUCAGAGAAGCACCGCGGCGGCUGCUGCUCCUUGUCGCCGCUCCUCACCCACCCACCGCGGCCGCCUCCUCCCUCGGAACCCUAGCCAACCGCACGCAACCCAUGGCGUCGCCCAGCUCGCCGCCCCUUCAAACUCUAGACCCGCCCGUGCCUCCCUGCCCCGCCGCCGUGCAGUUCCAGCCCCUGCCCCGUCGAGCGGCUCAUGGCGGUGUCGGAUCCGGUGUCGGGGUCGAGGCGCGCUGCCCGUGCGUGUGGAGAGGCACCCGGACCUGGUCCAAGACUCGCACCACGGCAUGCUCGCCGCCGUCCUCGUCAGGGUCGCCGGCAAGGCGCCAUGGUGGCUGCUCGUUCCCCUGCUGCCUCUCGCAUGUUGACGCCGCCCCAAUCCGAGCUCGAGCUAUAGAGGCGUGCCGCUAGGUCCCCUCUUUCUUCCAGUCUUUCCGCCGGAUCUACUGAUGCACUCGUCGAUCUCUAGAUUGGUCCUCUGUGGCUCAAUCCCCUGGUCGAUGCCUCCUUCGAUCUAUGGGUGCUCAUCUCUGGUUACUGAUCUGCAGGUAGCUGUUCAUCUUGCAUCCAUCUGUGUGUAGCUGAAGAAUGUUGGUUCCGUCCAUCUUGAGGUCGUACUUCCCAUUUUCAGGGUCGUACUUCCCAUUACAGGCCGACGAUACGGCAGAUUCGGUUAGUGGGAAGAUCGUCCAAAAGAACAUCUGACGAGCUGACGCAAAGAGGUCUGAACCAUCUGUUCCUGUUAUUGCCCCAGUGAGUGUGGGCAAGAAAGGCGGGAAGAAGUAAUCCCUUCUGUUAGGACAAAACUCAGUAUUCUGGUGACAUAAAACUUUUGCAGACGGUUAAUGUAGAUAGACGGUCUUUUAUCAAAAUGCCUGUACUAGCGAUUCCCCUGCUUGCGCUCGGGCUCCUAGGCACUUACCGCCAAAUCACUUGGUUGCUUCUGGGCGACGAUGGUUGCUAUCAAGACCAUCUCGCUUUCCAUCCGGACUAUCGGGCUAUGUAGAUAGAGACUGGCAUUUAGUCAGAGGUGCGCACCUUAUAAGUGCAUGUCCUUGACUUGGCGGAAGGAGGUGAAACAAGUUCAUCCAAUGAUGUGUAACAUCCUUUGGAGUGCUUUGGGCCCUCGCGUUUCAGUUUCACAGAGAUUUCCGUGUGCAGAGGGUCACGAAGACUUUGUUGCCUUGCCUAUUUUGCAUGUACUUGUGUAGACAAGCUGAACCUGCUGAUGACUUUAUUGCCUUGCCUAUUUAGCAUGUACUUGGUGGAUAUCGAUGACUUUUAUCAAUUUGUGGCUCGGCGGUACCAUUGUAUCAAAUCAUGGAGUGCUUUGGGCCCUCGCAUGAUGUGCAACAUCCUUUGGAGUGCUUUGGGCCCUUGCAUGUACUUGCAAAUAGAUUUGACUUUAUUGCCUCGCCUUGAUACAAUGGUACUAUAGAUUUGACUCAGGCAAUAAAUUUGUGGGAUUCGGAAACAGUGUGCAUUACAAUUGUAUCAAAUCUAUUGGCAUUUGUCAUUAUGCUUAUUGAUAUAUCUCCUUCCUCCUUGAACUAUUAUUGCAGCUGCUCGUGGCCAGGGGCGUAAUGUACGUGGAGGUGUUCAAUAGAGGGGUCAUUAUGCCGCCCUACAGCAUCAGGAAGAGGAACAGCAGGACCGGGCUGCCCUUCACCUAUUACGACGGCAUCUACCUGAACUCAGUUAACCUGAACUCCAUAACUGAAGCUAUGUUUAUUCUGUGCCUUUGAAGAUGUACAUCAGUGCGCAGGCGGACUGGUCUUCCUGUUCGUACUCCUAGAUUGCAUAUCUGAACUUGGCCAAGAAUGGACCCCAUGCUUCUCUUGCCUCAGAAGCAUGUUCAUAUGAAGCAAAUAAAAGCAUGCAGUGCUUUACAAUUUGAGCCGUCGCCCCUCCGGCCUGCCCGCCGGCGGCACACUGCUCUUCCGGCCGCCCCUGAGCCCACGCGGCUUGCCGGAUCAUGCGCCGCCCCUGAGCUGCGCGCAGCUCUCCGGACCAAUUCGUGCCACCCACGCCAACCUGAGAUCCGCCUCUGUAGGACGUGAUGGCCAGAUCGCCGCGAGCCCCUACCCUGACCCCAAGGUCGUCGGCAGCGUCAAUCCCGGCGGCCAGGUCAUCGUCACCCCAACCUCGACGCCCAGGUCAGCAGAAGGUACAGUGGAUUGCUGGUACAUUUGUUGUCUGAAGGCCCAAAGUUUUUAAAUCUAACUGAAACCAAAGCCUUGUGAUUUAUCCAACUGAAGAUCCAAAGCUUGUAGUUAAAAUGAUAGCUAGGUGGUACAAUGACCGACAUCGUGUGUACCUCAUUCAUGUGGAUACUAAAAUGUGCUCUCAUCCGCUAUUUUGCUAGGACUUCUUUGUUCUCUUUCUUAAUGCAGCCGUUGAUAAGAUAAUUUCUGUAAUGUUGUAAGACCAUAGAGAACAUAUGUUUCAUAGUUAAUAGAAUUGAGAACAUCGUACAUUGUACACCCUGUGACGUUAACAAAGAUGUUCUCAAUUCUCCUUAAUUUGGUCUGCCUAAGCCACAGAAAAUGUGUCCACUGCCUAAUUGGGUGUUUAGUAAUUCAUUUUUAGAGAGUGUGGAUUUUGUUUCAUAACGGUUAGUAAAACCAGUAGCAUCGUGGAUCAUUUUGGUACUGCUAAAAUUUGGUCUUCCAUAAGAGAAUGGUUUGUGAACAACAUUUUAUUUUGAUGGAUCUAUGGAAUUGAUUUUAACAACAUUGUGGACAUGAACUGUUGUAUGAAAGGCUUAGUAUUGGUUGCCUAUUCUGACCAGCAAAAAGAUUGUACAAUGUACUAAUAAAGGGAAAACAUCCGAUCAACAAUCAAAAGUGACUCGUGACAAAGUUUUGGAUUUGCAGCUGUCUCCUACUAUGCAGAUCUAUUUGAAACAUUACAAACCCCAACAUUGGUCUUUCCAUUAACUGUUUCAGUAACACCCAGACUUGGUACUGGUCAUUACAUGAAACAAAGAAGUGUUGAUCGUAUUGUAUAUUGCAGAAGGUAGAUGAAGUAAGUGAUGUGGCCUAUUUUCUCACUACUUAUUUGCUAUUGACUUAACCAUCAUCCUAUGCCUUCAUGUUUGUUAGGGUUCAUAUUUUAUUGCAUUAACUAAAGCAUGAUGUUUUGUUAUUUUACUCCCUCUGUUCAUUUUUAUAUGGUGUGGAUGGAAGAGUGAGAAUAACUACAGGUUGGUCAAAGAUUGAAAGAAAUCGCUUAUGUGUCUUUGGCUUCGACACUGCGCAUAGGAAGUCGUCGCUGAUAAUCCAAACUUUGAAAAGGUUCAUGUGUUGUGGCGUAUGAAAGGUUGGAAGUCAAGACGAUCAGGUAGAUCUAUCCAAAAAAUAUGCUUCUGUGAAAGUAGAUAGUUUUUUUGUUCUUGCGUUGUCACUGUGGCUUGAUUUUGCUGCAUGAAAAGUACGUUGUCUGUAUCAAACUUGAUUGAUGUGGAUUGAUCGACCGAUCUCUCGCUUUUGUAAAGUAUAUAUUUCCAUUCCCUA